GGGCACAAAAACAUGCAGUCGCACGAACUUAACUCAUUCUUUUAGAUUGAGAGCGGUUAGUGGCGGACUGGUGAGUAACCCUUGGGUAACCUGCCUUAUACAGGGGGAUAACACUUAGAAAUAGGUGCUAAUACCGCAUAAGCGCACGGGGCUGCAUGGCCCAGUGUGAAAAACUCCGGUGGUAUAAGAUGGACCCGCGUCUGAUUAGCUUGUUGGCGGGGUAACGGCCCACCAAGGCGACGAUCAGUAGCCGGCCUGAGAGGGUGGACGGCCACAUUGGGACUGAGACACGGCCCAAACUCCUACGGGAGGCAGCAGUGGGGAAUAUUGCACAAUGGGGGAAACCCUGAUGCAGCGACGCCGCGUGAAGGAAGAAGUAUCUCGGUAUGUAAACUUCUAUCAUCAGGGAAGAAAACAGACGGUACCUGACUAAGAAGCCCCGGCUAACUACGUGCCAACAGCCGCGGUAAUACGUAGGGGGCAAGCGUUAUCCGGAUUUACUGGGUGUAAAGGGAGCGUAGACGGAAGAGCAAGUCUGAUGUGAAAGGCUGGGGCUUAACCCCAGGACUGCAUUGGAAACUGUUGUUCUAGAGUGCCGGAGAGGUAAGCGGAAUUCCUAGUGUAGCGGUGAAAUGCGUAGAUAUUAGGAGGAACACCAGUGGCGAAGGCGGCUUACUGGACGGUAACUGACGUUGAGGCUCGAAAGCGUGGGGAGCAAACAGGAUUAAAUACCCUGGUAAUCCACGCCGUAAACGAUGAAUACUAGGUUGUCGGGUGGCAAAGCCAUUCGGUGCCCCACCAAACCCCAAUAAAUAUUCCCCCUGGGGAAUACGUUCGCAAAAAUGAAAUUCAAAGGAAUUGACGGGGACCCCGCACAACCGGUGGAACAUGUGGUUUAAU
rnacentral:rRNA from 1 species